rnacentral:rRNA from 1 species
UACGUAGGGGGCUAGCGUUGUCCGGAAUCAUUGGGCGUAAAGAGCGUGUAGGCGGCCAGGUAGGUCGGUUGUGAAAACUGGAGGCUCAACCUUCAGACGUCGACCGAAACCAUCUGGCUAGAGUCCGGGAGAGGAGAGUGGAAUUCCUGGUGUAGCGGUGAAAUGCGCAGAUAUCAGGAGGAACACCGGUGGCGAAGGCGGGUCUCUGGGCCGAUACUGACGCUGAGGAGCGAAAGCGUGGGGAGCGAACAGG